GUCGGCAGAACCUUUGAUGAGCCGCCGGCAGGUCUCCAUCUGCACGUCCAAGCCUCGCUUCAUGCUGCACAUCUCCAUAUACUCAUGCAGGUGCCGGUUCAUGUCGCUCUUGGCUGUGGCCAGCUCCAGCUAGAAGGAAUCAGUGACGAAUAAAGGGGCUGGAGAGAUGGCUCAGUGGUUAAGAGCACUGGCUGCUCUUACGGAGGUCCUGAGUUCAAGUCUCAGCAACAUCGGGAUGGCUCACAACCAUCUGUAAUGGGUUCUACUGCCCAAAGACAGCUACUGUGUACUUGCAUACAUAAAAUAAAUAAAUCUCAAGAAUAAAAAAAAAUAAGAAAAAUAAA